rnacentral:lncRNA from 1 species
UCUACUAGCUUGAAUAAAGUUUGGCCUCCCAGUGCUCGAUUUUCCUAUUCAGCCCAGAAUAAAAUCUAGACACAAGUAUUAAUUUAUUCCACUAGAAAAUUAAUACUGAAUUACCUCUUUAUUCUUUAGGUGAGUCGGGGCUAGUAUUAGACUUAAUUAAUCCCCGUGUUUAAAAUAUCCAAUAUCCAUUAAUUAAUUAAUUUCUCUGACAAUCAAUUAAUUAAUUAAUUAGUCGUUUAAUAAUAAACGACAUCUCGAGUGCUACCACUUAAACUUAUUAUCGUAUCGGAACUAAUUCCACCUGCAGGGUUUAAUACGAUAAACUUAUUAAGUUCCUC